AGAGAGCGAAAACCAAGAGAAAAUAAAAAAAAAAAAUUGAAUACAUUUUCAAUUCCUAUAAUUGCUACUCCAAUUUCAAUUCCUGGGAUUUGAUCGCUUGCCUCUUUCAAAUUCUCUCAUUUCCUCUGCAUCCCUUCACGGGGAUCACAUGCAGAGGAUCAUACUCACAGGCCAUUUCUUUAUUUCUUGAAUCCAUAUAUUUACGUCAUAUACAUUCACAUAUAUAUAUAUAGUUACACACUAUCUUGUACGCAACUGGGAAUUGGGUUUCUUGAGAUUUGGA
rnacentral:misc_RNA from 1 species